UAAGGAGAGCAGGAAAAGGCUUUACCUCUUGAUUUAUAGGCUCAGACCAAAGCAAUCUGAGUUUUCUCUGAGUAUGGGAAGCUAUUCCUGAGGAAGAUAUGGGCUCUCAAAAGAGAGACCACCGAAGACAAGGAAGAAAGGAUCUUCCAUUAUCCCUUUGCUCCGUUAACUAUCCUCUGAGAAGCUGCCAGUGUCCCUCCAGUCUUAGUUAAUUAGAUGGGUUCAGGACCUAAUUCUAAAAACUACUUUCCCCAUGACCAUAAUAGAUGAAAACUAAAGGAAGAGCCUGACUUUUCUCACUUCAAUUGGGUGACUCUGGAAGUCAUGAAUCUGUUGAAAAUGGUAAAGCCACAAGAUAGAAGGAACCACAUGAUGGAAAACAAUUCUGCUUGCAGAAGAGCUUCCGAUCAAUCAAGAACAUCUGAUUAAACUUGAUGUAAGGAAAAAAUAAAUUUGUACUUAUUACAUCAUUGAAA